GUAGAAUUUGUUCGGAGAACCUAUUCAGUUGGAAUUACAAUGUAAUUCGAUCCUUCUCUAAUACAAUACUCUCAAUCACAUUAUUAGGGUAUGAAUAUAUUAUGUCAAACCCCUAAUGUGAUUAUUCCAUGUUAUAUGAUUCAAUUGAGUCGUACAGGAACGCUUUCCUUUAUUACGCUCGAUACUUCGGCCGAAGAUUCCCGAAUCAUAUCUUAGAGUAUUCUUCCUCUCAUAACGAGGAUUAGAGAUCCCUUGUUGCGCAUUUACUUGCCUCCAUGGCUAAGUGGCUUAACCCUAACUAUGCCGUGGACACCCGCGAAUGGAGUGACUUUGACAUAAUCAAAGAUCAAGGACCUAACCACAAGACAACUACGAUGCCUCAGGUCAAAGGACUACUUACAUUAUUCCAACCAUUAGAGUUACUUGCUUGACAUGUGAGUAGACCUCCAUGCAAGUACUCUCGUUCGAUUGUGUUCAGUGAACUCAUUCCCUUAAUGAGCACCUACAUACCUGUCUUAGUGUCACUACACGAAUGGGAUGAGACUUUCCAUCCUUCCAAUUGAAGGGGACAUAAUAUGUACUGGUUUUUGCAUUGUCAGUGUCCCUCUGACAAUCAUAUGACCAGGAACCUUUUUGGACAUGAUGGUUAUGUGAAGAAGGUCUUUGUAGUCUAACAUCAUUAGAUUACUUCUUCCAUCGAUCCAUUGUCCAUGGAUUCAUUAUUUAGGACAUAUAUCGUUUAUUGAGAUAGUCCUAAUUAGUAUCUUUGCCUUUUGAUGUAUAAGAGUCAUCUAUACACACAUUCAUUGUCCUGAAAGGUUUCUUCCAAAGAUUGACUUUCAGGGCAUAUUUCCAACAUUAAAUACUUGGAUGUGAUCCUGAACUGAUGUAGAAGAAAACCAUUGGGUAUAAACUGUCUUUACAUAUGAUUUUGUAGUUUAUGCUUCAAUGUGUUUUACAUACGAUUAGGCAACAUACAACGUAUAACCUUUAAAGUAGUUUAUGUUUGAAUGUAUGUUAGGUAUAACCUUUCAGCUUCUAGCUAGUUAUAUUAAGUUUUUUUUUCAAUUCAAUCUUGCAUGUUCACUUUAUUUUUGUUUCCUAAGUUGUAUCAUGUCAAAUUUGAUUUUUUUAACCUUCAUCUCCUUUAAAAUGACAUAAAUGACAAGUCCGUGAAUGACUUACAUAUUUGUCCUGGGCAACAUCAUUUAUCCACUGACUGUUCUUGUCUUUAUGGAGAGCCCCCCAAUUGUCAAUCACAGAUAAUGGAUUUCCUUUCUGCUCAAUAAUGCAGAAACAUACAUUAGAAUAGGUAAAUUCCAUAAUGAGUAUAAUAAGUAAUUUAAUUUUAUUACCAUCUGGGCCUUUCUAGCAUGUUGGAUAAAUGGUCUUGCCCCUCCUUUGUGGUGAUACUUCUGUUUCUUCCUAUUAUCAACAUUUUGCUUUUAAAGCUCCUACAUUACACGUUUGGUACAUGACAUACAAAAGAAGAUUUAGUUAGCUAUACAUGUGUACAAUUUGGAAAGUUUCAAGCUCUCAAAUUUGUCAUAUAUAACGUCAUGUAUUUCAGUUGUACAUAUUCAUUCACCUUAGAUGGCUAUCUCACCUCACCUUCUAUAUUCUCUCGGUCAACAAUGUUAGAAACAUCACAAGCUAAGGAGAGAGAAACAUAUAAACACCAAGCUUAAGGAAAUUGAAUGGAAGAUACUAUUUCUUCUACCAAGGGCAUUAGGCUAACACAGUUAGUCAAAUGACUAUAUGAUAACAAUUUUCAAACAUUAAAUUUUAACUACAAAUUACCUAAGUGUCAAGAAGUAACCAUCAACAAACUUCAGAUUUUAACUCAAAAUUACCUAAGUGUAAAGAAGUAACAAUCAAUUUAACCACAAGGUGAAAUUCAUUAAUGCAUGUUAGGAUAUUUUUAUUUCAAAUAUGGCUAUCGAAACUAUUAGACGAUAUGGGGUGACUGAUGCUACAUAUAACUGAUGUUGCAUACAUAUGGGGGUGACUGAUUAUUAGAUGAUAUGAGGUGACUGAUGCUGCAUAUAUGGGGUGAUUGAUGCUGCAUAUUGACUAAUUAUUAGACGAUAUAGGGUGACUGAUGCUACAUAUGGAUAUUAGACGAUAUGGGGUGACUGAUGCUGCCAAAUUUUAUGUUUCCUCUUUCCAUGGGAUUCUCUAUUAAGUCUAAUACCUUAAUUUGAGGAAGUUUGACAUCUAGAUGAAAGGUUAGAGGUUCUGACUAUAAAAAUGGAAUUUGUAGAACAUGACAAGAAGUCUUCAUGUUGAAAGAAUUGGUUUCUAACUUGGAUACUAGAAAAGAUUGUAUAGAAUACAUACAAAAAGAGUGAGUAUUGUAAACAUUAUCACAAAACCAAUCCCAAUGACUCUUUGGUCUCCCAUUCCAUAUCAUAUCAUUUGGAAGCUUAGCUCGUCCUCUUACAGGUGUUCCACAUGACAAGUAGUGUAGAUGCAACCGAUGCCUAAACUAAGAGUACAACUUUGCCAUCUUAGUGUCAACAUAUUCAAUAAUCUUCGGAUGGGAUAUGUCCACAACAAAAAAUACCUAUUGUUAAACAUAAAUAUAUGCAAGUGAGUGCUUGAAAUUACAAUGAAUAAAUUGAAUUAAAUUCAAAACUCACAAGCAACUUCUCUUGCAGUUUCUUCUUUUCUGAAGCUGGGACCUUAAACCAUCUCUCAUAGCAAACCGGUGAAUAAGUCCUGUUUGUACCAUACUUGACCAAUCCCGAAACUACUGAGCACCGGUCAACGUUAUACCGUCAAGGACCCAAAAGAGUUUCCCUUCAACUAGGAGGCCAAUCACAGCGCGACACGUGUUGACAUCAUAAGCCAAACAUAGCGCGACACGUGUC
rnacentral:lncRNA from 1 species